GUGCGUCACGCCGGCGGAGGGCACGGUGGGCUGCGGCCGACCCGCGACGAGGAGCCCGGCGUCGCGGGCUACGGGCGGAAGGCGCCAUCCCCGCCCUGGCAGCGCGGCCGGGAAUCGUCCGGGGGUCGCCAGCGAGUAGCCGCAGGCUCCAUUCAUUCGCGCGGCUCCGCCUCCUUGCUCGGGCACCGGCGGCUCGCAGGACGCGUCAGAGGUGAGUGCGCUACCUGUUCCGGACG
rnacentral:lncRNA from 1 species